UACAGAGGUCUCAAGCGUUGUUCGGAAUUACUGGGCGUAAAGGGCUCGUAGGCGGCCAACUAAGUCCGACGUGAAAUCCCCAGGCUUAACCUGGGAACUGCGUCGGAUACUGGAUGGCUUGAAUUCGGGAGAGGGAUGCAGAAUUCCAGGUGUAGCGGUGAAAUGCGUAGAUAUCUGGAGGAAUACCGGUGGCGAAGGCGGCAUCCUGGACCGACAUUGACGCUGAGGAGCGAAAGCUAGGGGAGCAAACGGG
rnacentral:rRNA from 1 species